rnacentral:rRNA from 1 species
UGCGUAGGCGGAAAAUUAAGUCAGUGAUGAAAUCCUGCAGCUCAACUGUAGAACUGUCAUUGAUACUGAUUUUCUUGAAUUUAGUUGAGGUAGGCGGAAUGUGUAAUGUAGCGGUGAAAUGCUUAGAUAUUACACAGAACACCGAUUGCGAAGGCAGCUUACUAAGCUAACAUUGAUGCUGAGGCACGAAAGCGUGGGGAGCGAACAGGAUUAGAUACCCUGGUAGUAC